GCAUAUUUGUGAACCCGACCUUACAGCGAGUUUGGCAGUGCAACUGAGCAUUGCAACUACUCUUCUGAGGCUAAGCCAGUGCACAGAGGAGAGAAGAUGUGAGCCUACCAGUACGAUCAUCCAUGUAGAAGACAAAGGACCCAGAUCCUCCUCCCCCUGAGGGAACACAAACCUUGCACUAGCGCAGAGUUCCUGCCGGCACUAAUCCAAAUUUCUGCUGGCCCUUGAUGCAGAGAGGAACCUGAGACUUGUGAAGCUGGCAGAAAAAUGAGCACGAGGAAACUGUUGCUGGCUGAUGAGAGUGUCUCUGGAGAGUGCUUACAACAAGACCUUGCUCAGCACAAGCCAGCAAUAAAAUGAAAAACAGCCUCCUAAAAAGCUCUCCUAAGGCAGAGGACCGGGAUGACGGUGGUCAGAGCUGAUUGCGGACAUCUGAAAGACAGCAAACCCACAGGAGGUCCGGGAACAGUGCGCUUAGGCUCAAGCCCAGAUUAUUUCUUCGGUGGUGCCUUCCUGGCAGAUUCACUACCUCAGAUUGACCAGUGGCACUCUCUCGCACCUUCAGCAACGAGUGUGGUUUUUCUCUUCCUAUUCUGCUGUUUGGAGAUUUGAGGCUUUAAACCUCCAGCCCAGAUGCAGAACAGCACAGAAACUCCCAUGUGCAUUUUCAAGCCUUGGCCACUUUAAACUUCCAGAGUUUUACAGUCAAAGUAUGAGCCUCACAAUAAAACCAGAGAAGAAGAAAGCAAUCAAGGAAAUUAAUUCCUGGCUAUUUUGCAACAUCCGUUCCAUAUGUCCAGGAAUAUAUAAGACUAAUUGCAUUUUCACUGACGUCAGUCUAAUCAACGAUCAGUUUACGAAGCUUAAUGUGUUCUCCUCUGGCUCACUAGGAGAUACAUAUUAACCUUCAACAGAACUUCUAAACACAUUUUACUUGAUUAAUGUAAUACCUCCUCUCCUUUCUAUAAAUACAUUCAUGAUUUUUGUAUAAAAACCAAAUGUAAUUAUAGCAUUCUGGACUCUUAAUGUGUUUCUUU